GGAAGCAGGGGAGGUGUGUUUUCAGUUUGUGUGUGUGUGUGUGAGAGAAACGUAGACGCUUUUUUCCUUUUCACGGAAGAGAGCGGAAGGUCGGCGUCCACACAACCACCGCGACCGACAGGGAGAAGGUCGAACCGAGCAACGUUACCGUAUGCGUCAGGGGAAAUAAACCGGGGGACAAACACUAAGAGCGAAAACAGGAAGAGGAAAAUUACAAAAUACAGCAGUCGCACGAAAGCACGGGGUUUUGUCUCUGCAGCAGCACGGCGGAGUGUCUGACAGAAAUGGGAUUGUGGUUCUCCUGAUAGGAACGGAACAGCAGUGGAACCCAGCGGACCGGAGGGAGGACAGGCACCGGGCGCAGACAUGGCCCACGUAGGCAACGGAGCGGCCGCCGAGGAGGAGGACUGCUUUGAAGAUGCUUACGACCGAAUACCUGCGGCAUGUCAGAUGGACCUGCAGACAGCCAUCCAGGAGACUCAGUGCGCUCUCAAUCUGGUCCUCAACGACAAGUUCUCUGAAGCCCUGGACCUCCUCAAACCAUGGUGGAGGGACAGUAUGUACCAUGCGUUGGGUUACAGCAGCAUCCUGGUGAUGCAGGCGACCAUGACCUUCGAGCACAGAGACAUCCAGACUGCCAUGGCAACCAUCAAGGAGGCGUUAAACACCUGUCAGAGGUUCAGGAAGAAGAACUCUGUAGUUGGAUCUCUGUCCAGUCUGAUCAGCAAGCAGUCCAACCUGCAGGAAGAGGAGAUGCACGCAGAGAUCUGUUAUGCUGAGUGUCUGCUGCAGAAAGCCACGCUAACGUUUGUACAGGAUGAGAACAUGAUCAGUUUUAUCAAAGGAGGGAUCAAGAUUCGAACAAGCUACCAAAUCUACAAGGACUGUCAGAAUGUGCUGAAUGUCACUGAGGACGCGGCUGGCCAGUCUGAUUUGUUCAAACAAUUUGAAGGCGGAGUCAAGCUGGGCAUCGGAUCCUUCAACCUGAUGUUGUCUCUGCUCCCUCAGAGGAUUUUGAGGUUGUUGGAGUUCAUCGGAUUCUCAGGAAACAGGGGGUUUGGUUUGUCUCAGCUGAGAGAGGGCGCUUCCAGUCACAGUUUGAGGUCGAUCCUAAGCGCUCUGACUCUGCUCUUCUACCACACAUAUGUGUCACUGAUACUUGGAACUGGAGAGGGGAACCUUGUGGAAGCUGAAGCUCUGCUAGAGCCGUACCAACACAAAUACCCCAAAGGCUCAAUCAUUCUCUUCUACUCUGCUCGCAUUGCUACGCUGCGAGGAAACUUUGAGAAGGCCCGGGCGAGGUACGAAGAGUGUAUCAACAACCAGCAGGAGUGGAAGCAGAUACACCACCUGUGUUACUGGGAGCUAAUGUGGGUUCACUCCUACCAGCAGGAGUGGCAACAGGCAUACCAUUACGCUGACCUGCUGUGCAAGGAAAGCCGCUGGUCCAAGGCUAUCUAUGUGUACCAGAAAGCAGCCAUCCUCAGUAUGAUGUCAGAAGACGAAGUCAAGAAGACAGGGGAGGACAUCAUGGAGCUCUUUAGGCAGGUGGAGGGGCUGAAACAGCGCUUGGCAGGAAAAUCGAUACCGACGGAGAAAUUUGCAGUGAGGAAGUCCAGACGCUACAAAGCUGCUAAACCCAUCCCCCUGGUCAUCCCAGCACUGGAGAUGAUGUACGUUUGGAACGGUUUCACCAUCCUCGGGAAGAGAGCCGACAGUACCGAGGCCCUGCUGGUUACCAUAGAGGCGGCCGAGGAGCAGCUUCGCAACGACCCCAACCCCUCAGAGUUUCAUACAGAUGAUAGCUGCCUGGUCCAGAUGUUGAAGGGACUCUGUCUAAAACACCUGGGCAGGUUAUUGCAAGCUGAGCUCUGCUUCACGCAGGUGCUGUCCAGCGAGGGUCGCAUCCGAUAUGACCACUACUUGAUUCCCUUCACUCUCUAUGAGUUGGGUCUGUUGUAUAAACAUCAGGGAGACUUCACCAAGGCCACUACAUACAUCGAAAAUGCCAAGACGAACUACAAGGACUACUCCAUGGAGUCCAGACUGCACUUCAGGAUCCAUGCAGCCCUCAACAGCCUCAAAGGAUCACCAGUUGGCACCCCGUAAUACUCUAAAACAACUUUGGCAUCUUAGAUAUGUCAAUGUACUACAACACCCAUGAGUCUCGGCUGCUGUUGCUACUGAGAAGAUGACAAUGAGAGAAACGAAGGCCACCAGACGGCGCGCAGAGUCCAAGUUCAACUGUGAGAUUCCUGAACAGCUAGAGUGAAUGAUGAUGGAGAAGUGGAGCGAGGAAGAGGAAGCCGCUUUAAGAGAGUAGUGGGAGGACUGCCAACACAACCGGUCAAUUACACGCAAAUCUGUGUCUAAUCUGAUUUUAUCAUCUUUAUUACCCCAUAAACUACAUGCUAAUGACUAAACCAGCAGAGAGCAUGGUGGAGCUGUUAUUUAAUGACAUCUGGCCAAUAAACUGUGUGUCUGCAGUAAAUUUAUUGUGUGUGUGCGCACUCAGAUCCAGUGGCAGGUUGCUGUAGACAUGGGCAGAAGGUUUCAAUGUGGAAGAGCUUAUUUCGGAGGCUGCUGGGUAAUCACUGCUGCUCAUUGGAUUGGGUAGGACCAAGCGGCAACCUCCAGGUCUGAAAAGUGAAGCCAAUGCGGUCGCCUGUCCCAGCAUGCCAUUUCCCAGAAGGCUUUUUGACUUGUCACAAAGCACAGGAGUUACUAAUAACAUUAAGGAUGACAACGCAAAGUGUCCCCCGCUGGCAGCUGAGUAGAAUUCAAUUUUGAUAUUUACACCUGUACUU